UCUCCUUGGAAACGGGUGGUAAUGCCGGAUGCUCCAGUUGAUCGCAUGGUCUUCUGGGAAAGCUUUCGCGGUAUGGGAUGGGGUCGCGUCCUAUCAGCUUGACGGCGGGGUAACGGCCCACCGUGGCUUCGACGGGUAGCCGGCCUGAGAGGGCGACCGGCCACAUUGGGACUGAGAUACGGCCCAGACUCCUACGGGAGGCAGCAGUGGGGAAUAUUGCACAAUGGGCGCAAGCCUGAUGCAGCGACGCCGCGUGAGGGAUGGAGGCCUUCGGGUUGUAAACCUCUUUUAUCGGGGAGCAAGCGAGAGUGAGUUUACCCGUUGAAUAAGCACCGGCUAACUACGUGCCAGCAGCCGCGGUAAUACGUAGGGUGCAAGCGUUAUCCGGAAUUAUUGGGCGUAAAGGGCUCGUAGGCGGUUCGUCGCGUCCGGUGUGAAAGUCCAUCGCUUAACGGUGGAUCCGCGCCGGGUACGGGCGGGCUUGAGUGCGGUAGGGGAGACUGGAAUUCCCGGUGUAACGGUGGAAUGUGUAGAUAUCGGGAAAGAACACC
rnacentral:rRNA from 1 species